rnacentral:rRNA from 1 species
UACAGAGGGUGCAAGCGUUAAUCGGAAUUACUGGGCGUAAAGCGUGCGUAGACGGUUAUGUAAGUCGGGUGUGAAAGCCCCGGGCUCAACCUGGGAAUGGCAGUGGAUACUGGCAAGCUAGAGUGCGGUAGAGGGUAGUGGAAUUCCCGGUGUAGCGGUGAAAUGCGUAGAGAUCGGGAGGAACACCAGUGGCGAAGGCGGCUACCUGGACCAGCACUGACACUGAGGCACGAAAGCGUGGGGAGCAAACAGG